CCUACGGGCGGCAGCAGUGGGGAAUAUUGCGCAAUGGUCGUAAGAGUGACGCAGCGACGCCGCGUGAAUGACGAAGGCCUUCGGGUCGUAAAGUUCUUUCGACAGGGAAGAAAAUGCCUAUAAGUGACUGUGUAUGUAUUGACGGUAACUGUAUAAGCAGCCCCGGCUAACUCCGUGCCAGCAGCCGCGGUGAGACGGCGGGGGCGAGCGUUGGUCGGAGUUAUUGGGCGUAAAGGGCACGUAGGCGGUGUUGUAAGUCAUGAGUCAAAGCCCAGGGCUCAACUUUAGUAAGGCUAGUGAUACUAUAAUACUAGAGUAUAAGAGAGGAUUGCAGAAUUCCUGGUGUAGCGGUGAAAUGCGUAGAUAUCAGGAGGAAUACCGUUAGCGAAGGCGGCCAUCUGGCUGGAAACUGACGCUGAGGUGCGAAAGCGUGGGUAGCAAACAGGAUUAGAUACCCUAGUAGUC
rnacentral:rRNA from 1 species